rnacentral:miRNA from 1 species
CAGAGUGGCCAGCUCUGUGGGGCGCUGGAGAGGUGAGGAGCCAGAUGCCUGCCCUCGAGGGGCUCACAGUCUAGACCAA